UCGCUAGUAAUCGCGAAUCAGAAUGUCGCGGUGAAUACGUUCCCGGGUCUUGUACACACCGCCCGUCACACCAUGGGAGUCAGUAACGCCCGAAGCCGGUGACCCAACCGAUAAGGAGGGAGCCGUCGAAGGUGGGACCGAUAACUGGGGUGAAGUCGUAACAAGGUAAC
rnacentral:rRNA from 1 species